CCUGGUAUGACACACCGGUUUUGGGAACACAAGCGUUCAGUUGUGUCGACGCCAAGUCGAAGCACUGGUUCAAUAUUGACGCCAGACACGUUGUCCUGUCUAGCACACCCAAUGCUGCCCAACCGGUUUAUCACAAGAUACGACAUGAACACCACGUGAAGCCCCGACGUCCUUUGAACUUUCAAGACUAGAAAUGGUUGGGUUUGGUC